CAAGAAAAGGGGCGACCCCCAUUGUUCCAAAACCCUAAAGUCACAAUUUCUUGCAAUUGGAGGUUCAAAUCCUAACCAAAACGAAAUCCGAGCUUAGAAUUGUGUUCCUCAUCGCAAGAGGAUUAAGAGGCAAAGAGUCCGGUUCAUCUAGCGGACAAGCCGAGGGGAAAUCACGAGGAAAAGGCGCGCUCUAAAGUUUUUCAGGUACUCAAGUGAAGGAUGAUGAUCAAGCAAUCGAUUCGGACCGAACACCUAACGUUACGCUUCCGCACUUGAACCUCGUUUUGUUAUUAUGUAAACUCUAGUAGUUUAUUUUGGAACAUUGUUAGUAGGUUGAACAUGUAAAUGC